UGACCGGAGGCGCGCAAAAUAUUCGGUGCGUUUGCAAAUCGUAAGUGUAAUUAUAUAAACAAUUUGUCGCGUAGUAAUGAAUGUUAUUACGUAUUAAUUAGUAUAUACGGUAAUCGAUGAAGCGUACAGUUAACGGGAGUGUUCGCAUUAAAAAUAGCGUUCUUUCUCGAGAGAAAAGUUGUGUAUCAACAUUUUCAAACGACGCGACGCGACGGUCGCACGAAUGAAGCACAUACAUAAUAGUCCAUAAUAAUUCAUAAUAAUCGGCGUUAUUACGUAUUAAUUAAUAUAUACUGUAAUCGUUGGAAUGUACACUUAACGAGUGUUCGCGAUAAAAAUCGUGUUCGUUCUCGAGAAGUAAAGAUUGUACGUCAACAUUCGCAAACUACGGUCGCACGAAUGAAGCAUGGGCGUCACCCAGGUUAACAUCAUUGUCAUCUUUCUUCGCAAAGGAUGAUUAAAGUGGAGCGAGUUCUUUCCGAUGGAUAUCAGCUGAUCCAACUAUAUCGACUAACACGAUCGUCUGGAGAGUAAUCAAGCCAUCAUCGCGAUGUUGCACACUGAAAUCACUGGGAUUAUAUGAAAGGAAGCUUAAGCUGAAGAAAUUUCUUAUCAUUUUGAACGAAGGACACCGGUGAGGAAGUUACUCGACGAAAAGGUGUUCACACCUAUGACUGCAGAUGCCACUAGACUGGACAUUGAGAGCAAUUAUUUAAUUUAUAAAUGCUGCAACAGCUAAAAGCAAGGGGACUGACACCACCAUACUCAAUAGACAACUUUCUAGUAGCACCCAACAUUACCGCUUUAAUAAUUAUUGAUGCUUAACCACAAACAAUUUAAAACUGUGAUCUACCCAACUAAAGAAUAAGUUUUAAUUAUAGAUGUAAACCUUGUAUAAUUUAGAUAUAGUUUGUACAUAAAAGAUAGAGUUUAGGGAAUAGUUAUAAGGUCUUCG